AUCGCUUCUCGGCCUUUUGGCUAAGAUCAAGUUAAGAAUGUUCUUCUUCUGAGUGAUCCUACCUGAAGGGUGAUAAUUUUCUCUUGACUUAUGUGCUAUGGUGUAAGUAGCUGUAUCUGGAUUCCUCCUGAAGCCAAAUGUCAAGUCUACUUAACAGAACUUUUAAGAACAUGAAUGACACUUU